rnacentral:rRNA from 1 species
CCCUUAGAUGUCCUGGGCCGCACGCGCGCUACACUGAGUGUCUGAGAUACGAGUCUGCCUGGUCCGGCAAGGUCUAGGUAAUCGCUAAAAGACACAUCAUGCUUGGGAUAGAUUAUUGCAAAUAUUAAUCUUGAACGAGGAAAUCCUAGUAAGCGCAAGUCAACAGCUUGCGUUGAUUACGUCCCUGCCCUUUGUACACACCGCCCGUCGCUACUACUGAUUGGAUGUUUAAGCGAGGUUCUCGAACUGCUAGCGACUUAGCUUCGGUGAGGUCGCAGUGUGGGAAGUGAACCUAGCUUUGGUGUCUAGAGGAAGUAAAAGUCGUAACA